AUUGAACGCUGGCGGCAUGCCUUACACAUGCAAGUCGAACGGUAACGGGCCUUCGGGUGCCGACGAGUGGCGAACGGGUGAGUAAUGCAUCGGAACGUACCUUUCAGUGGGGGAUAACGUAGCGAAAGUUACGCUAAUACCGCAUAUUCUGUGAGCAGGAAAGCAGGGGAUCGCAAGACCUUGCGCUGAUUGAGCGGCCGAUGUCAGAUUAGCUUGUUGGUGAGGUAAAGGCUCACCAAGGCGACGAUCCGUAGCUGGUCUGAGAGGACGACCAGCCACACUGGAACUGAGACACGGUCCAGACUCCUACGGGAGGCAGCAGUGGGGAAUUUUGGACAAUGGGGGCAACCCUGAUCCAGCCAUUCCGCGUGAGUGAAGAAGGCCUUCGGGUUGUAAAGCUCUUUCAGCAGGAACGAAACGGUAGGCCACGUAAUACUGGCUACUAAUGACGUACUGAACGAAGAAGCACCGGACUAACUACGUGCCAGCAGCGAC
rnacentral:rRNA from 1 species